rnacentral:rRNA from 1 species
UACGUAGGUGGCAAGCGUUGUCCGGAAUUAUUGGGCGUAAAGCGCGCGCAGGCGGGAUGGGAAGUCUGUAGUGAAACUGCGGGGCUCAACCCCGUAUUGGCGAUGGAAACUCCCAUUCUUGAGUGCAGGAGAGGAAAGUGGAAUUCCCAGUGUAGCGGUGAAAUGCGUAGAUAUUGGGAGGAACACCAGUGGCGAAGGCGACUUUCUGGCCUGUGUCUGACGCUGAGGCGCGAAAGCCAGGGGAG